CCUGCCCCUAGAGGCCAUGCAGGUGUGCCUGCUGUGUCACACGUGUGUCGGUAGGUGGCAGAGAGGAGAGAGACUAUGUCCACGCUCAGCGUUCUGAAUGAUUAGUAGCCUAACCUU
ensembl:snoRNA LOC120102050 small nucleolar RNA SNORA17